rnacentral:lncRNA from 1 species
ACAAAGGGUUGGGACACAAAGUCAUUCUCAGAAGAAGGAAAGCCUGGAAGGUCUUUCAACAGACUUCCUGGUGCUGGGUCUCCUUGUUCUCUCUUUAGUGUGACCGAGAGGCCAGAUGACCACGUAUAUGCCUAAGAGGAGAAGCUGCCACCUGUUGCUGUAAAUCUGGCUUUUCACCCAAAUGAAGAAGACUUUUCCUCGUCUUAUCCCUGGCAAAGACUCUAAUGAUGCUGAAAUUCUUAGGUGGAGAAGUGAAGGGCCAGAGGAAGGAAGUGAAUUAUAAUCGCCAUCAUUACAAGUUGCUGAGUGCUGGCUACCUUGUGACAACUACCUCUUUCAAUCCUUGCCCUGCCAGGGGACUGGAGGAGGAAUUCUCUGAAAAAUGAUCUAAGAAGAUAGCACCUUGGCAGAGAUCUGGGGAUCCUGAUCAUCCGAAGGCCAUCUGCUCUAUGCUUUCAGCUGGUCUUGAAUAAGGAGCCUGGACACCCCGAUGAUGUUUGGGACCCAUUCACUCAUGCAUCCAUUCAUUCAUCCUACAAGCAUGUGAGCAUCGUCUGCCAAACACUGACUGAGCCUGUGCUGGGAGUUCAAACAGCAUGAAGCCUCUGUCCUUGCCCCAGCCCGUGGAAAGCGGAACAAGGACUUUGUACUCCAGACAAAGGCAGAAAGGGGGCCUGAUCCAUGAGUCCAGGGGUUGCCAUGACGACCGUCCUCCAGAAGCAAAAAUUUUAAGGCUACUCCGACUAGGCCAGUAGUGCAAAUGUCUGCAUUCCCAACUCUUCCUCCACCCUGCUCCAUCACCAGAAAAUAUCUUCAUAUUUUUUUCCCCUGGGGAGAAUAAGGGGAAAAAAAGGACAACACAGAUGACGUCAGGAUGGCUAGCAGAUUGUUGGUAUAACCCGGCUGUCUGCCCCCCUCUUUCUUCCUGCAAACUAAAGUCGACUCUGCCCAAAGGUGAAAUGCAGUCAGCUAAGUUCUUGGGUGCCUUUCUGGAUUUGAGAACCUGUUUGGAAUCAGCCAUACGUUUCCGUCCACUGGGAAAUGGGGUUGACCUGCCUUAGCCAG